GAAAUGCGAUAAUUAAUGUGAAUUGCAGAAUUCAGUGAAUCAUCGAGUCUUUGAACGCACAUUGCGCCCCCUGGUAUUCCGGGGGGCAUGCCUGUCCGAGCGUCAUUGCUGCCCUCAAGCACGGCUUGUGUGUUGGGCUUCCGUCCCUGGCAACGGGGACGGGCCCAAAAGGCAGUGGCGGCACCAUGUCUGAUCCUCGAGCGUAUGGGGCUUUGUCACCCGCUCCCGUAGGUCCAGCUGGCAGCUAGCCUCGCAACCAAUCUUUUUAACCAGGUUGACCUCGGAUCAGGUAGGGAUACCCGCUGAACUUAAGC
rnacentral:misc_RNA from 1 species